rnacentral:rRNA from 1 species
UACGUAGGGGCAAGCGUUGUCCGGAUUUAUUGGGCGUAAAGAGCGUGUAGGCGGCCAGGUAGGUCCGCUGUGAAAACUCGAGGCUCAACCUCGAGAUGUCGGCGGAAACCAUCUGGCUAGAGUCCGGAAGAGGAGAGUGGAAUUCCUGGUGUAGCGGUGAAAUGCGCAGAUAUCAGGAAGAACACCCGUGGCGAAGGCGGCUCUCUGGGACGGUACUGACGCUGAGACGCGAAGCGUGGGGAGCGAACAGG